UAGGGAAUCUUCGGCAAUGGACGGAAGUCUGACCGAGCAACGCCGCGUGAGUGGAGAAGGUUUUCGGAUCGUAAAGCUCUGUUGUAAGAGAAGAACGAGUGUGAGAGUGGAAAGUUCACACUGUGACGGUAUCUUACCAGAAAGGGACGGCUAACUACGUGCCAGCAGCCGCGGUAAUACGUAGGUCCCGAGCGUUGUCCGGAUUUAUUGGGCGUAAAGCGAGCGCAGGCGGUUAGAUAAGUCUGAAGUUAAAGGCUGUGGCUUAACCAUAGUAGGCUUUGGAAACUGUUUAACUUGAGUGCAAGAGGGGAGAGUGGAAUUCCAUGUGUAGCGGUGAAAUGCGUAGAUAUAUGGAGGAACACCGGUGGCGAAAGCGGCUCUCUGGCUUGUAACUGACGCUGAGGCUCGAAAGCGUGGGGAGCAAACAGGAUUAGAUACCCUGGUAGUCCACGCUGUAAACGAUGAGUGCUAGGUGUUAACCCUUCCGGGUUUAGUGCCGUAGCUACGCAUUAAGCACUCCGCCUGGGGAGUACACCGUGA
rnacentral:rRNA from 1 species